CGUGCCUGGCGGCGGGGCUGCGAGGGGUCUCCUUGCCUUUCCUUGGCCUUAGGGUAACCGGCGCGUUCCGGUGCUGUGUUGGAGAAGCUCCUGAAUGUGUAGGAGCGGUAAUUGCCGCCUCUCGUCCUCAGAGAAGGGAGAGCUGCUGUGGGGCUCCGGAGUUCGCCGCUCUCCCUGUGCCGUCGUUGGGAGCCCGGCGUAUAUCACAGGCAACUCCUAUAGUGAACUGAAAGUACCGCGGGUUUAUCCCGCUCAGGCAAACUCUAUGCGACCACAGUAUCUGAAGGACUUUUCUCCCUCUUAGGCACUUCUUUCCUCCCCCAGAAACGCACAAACGAGAGCCUGUGUUUAAGCUCAUUGCUUCGGCAUCAGGAUCUGCUCUGCACUCAGCUGUCAAGUUUGUCUUGACUCUAAGUAACGUAGGGAUAGUCUAUCGUAAAAGAGGGAUGUUUUAGGAGGACGGCUCACAUGAGCUUUGGGUAAUGGUUUGGAAUUGGCCGGUGGCUUUCCAUCAGUCAGACGUGGAGUGAGGAGGUGCAGGGAGUAAUUAAUGAGCUGCCGUUGGCACUUGGAGCCCAGCCUCAUUAAAUGCUGUGUGCAUUGGGCUUCCUGUUGAAAUAACAGGAGCGAGCUGGUCAGAGCUGUGCUUCUCAAAUGGCACGUGGGAAGUUGCUGAGGAGUUGUCAUCGCAUUUCAGAGCAGCAAUACAAAACAAAACCCAGCUCCAAGAGUAAAAAGCAGUAGACUGCUGGAAGAGAUGCUAACAUGAGUGGUGUGCUGUUACAGCAGGGUGAGACCAUCCCGCUGCCGUGGUGUUCCGCUUGGAGGCUGGGUCCUGCCGGCCCAGCCCAGCCCAGUUUUUUGCCAGGCUCCGGAAGGCUCUGAGCCCUGCCUGUUGGCCUUCCCACUCCUUAUCUGGUGGGCUGAGACACUGUAAGGUGAGAAGGAACAGCUCUGGCAUCCUGGUGGAGCAUUUCUGAAGGUCUAGAUCCCCCCCACUUUGUACUUCUUUGCUUGCUGGAAGAAAACAGUGGAGUCUGAGGAGAGAGAUGGGACCUCCUGAAGAAAACUGGGUUAGUCGCGUCCCACAAGCAACUCCCCAAGGGAGGGAUACAGGACAGAGGAACUUGCAGGCUGCUAAUGGUCUUGACUAAGUGCUCCCUGUGCAUGUGCCCAGUCACACACGUGUAUGUAUAUAUGAACCAGAGAGGCCAACAUUUCCAACUUCAGUGAGGGCAGCUGCCCAGCUACCUUCCAAGGACACUGCUCUGCUGUCACAGUUACCAUGCUUCAUAGCCACAGCCUACACGUGAUGCUACUGCUAUUUCUGCAACUGUUUGGGGGACUGACCAUUGGAAUUAGCUACCUGUCAUGUGUGCUGCUAUAAAUAUCUCUAUACUGUAGAAAAAAAAAAAUAAUAGAAGUUAAUCUACUAAUAUCUAAACUAGUUUUAUUAUAGAGAGAUUGACUGUGGGAAGACAACUACUACUAAGCGUUCAUGAUUACAGUGCUCUGUUCAGAAGUGGAAAAUCAGAGUUAAGUAUUUUAUGCUGGAAAUAAUGCAGUUUUUUACACUAGUAUCCUCAGAUAACAGAUAAUUAAUAUUUUCAGAACAUAUAUUGCAGAUUUUUUGUGUUCUUAUAUUCAAGUGUAUCUGGACUGUAGUAGCUAAGCAUACAGCUGAAACAGUAGGAAUUUAAUGUGGUACAACAAAGUUGUAGAAGCAUUUAUCGCUUUAAAAGGUUUAGAUCAAUCAGAAUUCAUCAAUGCCACCUCAGUUAAGAUGAUAGAAAAAUAAAGUAUUGACUAUUAACACAGAGGCUGUAUUUUACCUUUUUAUUCGUAGGAAGAUUUCCAAGAUAAUGUAGGUAUUUUAAAUGACUAGCUGUGCUUCCAUCAUGUGAUGGCAACUAAUCAAUAAAUCAUGUGUCAUUGUUGUGGCUCAGCAUGUCAAACAGCUGCA